rnacentral:sRNA from 1 species
GAGGGGUACCCUGCCCUGCUAUGGGAGCCCCAGUCUGAGGGGACAUGUGGCUGGCCUACCCCCAGAGAUGUCUGUGAGGCCAUGGAGUACCUGGAGGGCAACAACUUCGUGCAUCGAGACCUGGCUGCCCGCAAUGUGCUGGUGUCUGAGGACAACGUGGCCAAGGUCAGCGACUUUGGUCUCACCAAGGAGGCGUCCAGCACCCAGGACACGGGCAAGCUGCCAGUCAAGUGGACAGCCCCUGAGGCCCUGAGAGAGAAGGUGGGGCUGGCCUCCCCUGGGGCCUACAGAGGUGGGCAGGAGUCCUGGGUCACUCCCCACCCCUGGAGUCCCAGGAUCUGACGCUGCUUCUUCCAUCCACAUGGCAGAAAUUCUCCACUAAGUCUGACGUGUGGAGUUUCGGAAUCCUUCUCUGGGAAAUCUACUCCUUUGGGCGAGUGCCUUAUCCAAGAAUUCCCCUGAAGGACGUCGUCCCUCGGGUGGAGAAGGGCUACAAGAUGGAUGCCCCCGACGGCUGCCCGCCCGCAGUCUAUGAGGUCAUGAAGAACUGCUGGCACCUGGACGCCGCCAUGCGGCCCUCCUUCCUACAGCUCCGAGAGCAGCUUGAGCACAUCAAAACCCACGAGCUGCACCUGUGACGGCUGGCCUCCGCCCGGGUCAUGGGCCUGUGGGGACUGAACCUGGAAGAUCAUGGACCUGGUGCCCCUGCUCACUGGGCCUGA